rnacentral:rRNA from 1 species
UACGUAGGGUGCAAGCGUUAUCCGGAAUUAUUGGGCGUAAAGAGCUCGUAGGCGGUUUGUCGCGUCUGCUGUGAAAACUGGAGGCUCAACCUCCAGCCUGCAGUGGGUACGGGCAAACUAGAGUGCGGUAGGGGAGACUGGAAUUCCUGGUGUAGCGGUGAAAUGCGCAGAUAUCAGGAGGAACACCGAUGGCGAAGGCAGAUCUCUGGGCCGUUACUGACGCUGAGGAGCGAAAGCGUGGGGAGCGAACAGG